GUUGGCUCUUUGGAGACGCAGCAUCAUCUAGUUCGCACAUGAUGAUGAUAGGCAGUGAUUAAGUCACUCACUUACGCAUGAUAGAAGUUGUGAUAUGAGAAUCUUGAUGAUGCUGCAUCAGCAGUUAGGCGACUA
rnacentral:pre_miRNA from 1 species